UACGGAGGGUGCGAGCGUUGUCCGGAAUCAUUGGGCGUAAAGGGCGCGUAGGUGGCGGGAUAAGCGUGCGGUGAAAGCUUGGGGCUCAACCCCGAGUCGGCCGUGCGAACUGUUCUGCUUGAGCACUGUAGAGGCAGGCGGAAUUCCCGGUGUAGAGGUGAAAUUCGUAGAUAUCGGGAGGAACACCAGUGGCGAAGGCGACUUCCUGGCCUGUUCUUGACGCUGAGGCGCGAAAGCUAGGGGAGCAAACGGG
rnacentral:rRNA from 1 species